CAGUAAAUACAUCGACUUUAAUUAUUCAUUUCUAUUUGCUUGAAGAAAUAUUCUUACACGACACGCAUAUGUCCGUGCAUUUCCUUGUUGCAGCAACAUGAAUUAAGCCGCUUUCACUCGCAGACCAAGGGGGUUGUUCUCGCUAACUUGUCCCCUCUAUACUCUCCACACUUUCUCUUCUCAGCUGAAGAAAAGGUAGUGCCUGGUAACCCGGAAGAUGUCUGGAACAAGACAGGAGGAUCUUGCCAGUGCUCCUUCAAUUAACUUGGCUGACUUUCUGUUCACUGGAAGUCUUUCUCCAAGUAUCCAGAGAUUGAGACAGUGCACAGUCCGUGUCUUACAAGAACACUUGA
rnacentral:lncRNA from 1 species